UCAACCCGCUUUUUAGUUCUUGUCAGUUUGUGCAAAUUGUGGUUGUAUGGUUUUGUAAGAGAACAAAUUUUAAAGGAUUUUUAUAAGAAGUUGUGUGCGUUAAUAUCUGUCUUGCCUUGUGAUCAGAUUUAUAUUUGAUAUGAUAACAGAUCACUAUGGAAGGAGGGAAUUCAAUGAGGUCUUUACAUCCUCUCGAGCUGUCAUCUUAGAAUAAAGUGCAAAGUUAGAUCGCAGGAUGACUGUCACACCGCGCGGUCCACCGCACGUUACACCGCCUAGACACCAACAUCAGCGACACCAGACGAGACCUAUCUUAACCAAGUGGCCUUAGUUAAUUAUAAAGUGUAACUUUUGUACGCCAGUUUUACACCGACCUAUUAUAAUAUAAGGUGCGAAGUGUUAGUGUUUCUUUUUUUUUGUGUGUGUGAGGGUUUAUGUGUGUCGAUGGUGCGGCCGACAUGGGAAAGUCCUCGGCGAGAACACAUGGCCAAGGUGAGUUACAUACGUGUAUAAUAACAUACUACCUCGAAGGUCCAACGGACGGGGAUCACGUCUGAAGGCUAAGGAAAUUGUGAAAGGAGUACCAUAGUUAUUAUUAUAGGAUUAAGCUGCGAUAGUUUUGAUAAGUGAUGUGACGGAUCGCGCUGAAUGUAUCCGUGUAUGCAGGCGUUAUAGCAUUUAUUUAUGAUUUGUCGAAUAAAUAUAUUAAUUAUAGAGAAUUAAUAAGAAGAAAAGAUCUCUACUUUGAAUGAAUGCGGACACGGAUAUUGCUAUUCGGUGCAUCACUAGACUUAAUGCCUAUCACAUUUUCAGUGACUUGAUAAGUGAUAUUACGGCUUGUUUAUUU